CGCCUACAGAGCAAACACACACACACACACAAUAAAACACAAAGCUCGUAGAAAAUACACGUCAGAGCGGCGUUAAGGCGAGCAGAAAUAUAGACAAAGGUGUGGAAGAGGGAGGAACACAGCUAUCAGCAACAGAAGAAGAAUAAAGAAGGAUAAAGAAGAGUAAAAGUAGAAUAAAGAAGAAUAAAGUAGAAUAAAGAAGGAUAAAGAAGAAUAAAGAAGGAUAAAGAAGAGUAAAAAAGGAUAAAGAAGAAUAAAGAAGGAUAAAGAAGAGUAAAGAACAAAGAAUAAAGUAGAAUAAAGAAGGAUAAAGAAGAAUAAAGAAGGAUAAAGAAGAAUACAGAACAAAGAAGAAUAAAGUAGAAUAAAGAAGGAUAAAGAAGAAUAAAGGAGAGUAAAGAAUAAAGUAGAAUAAAGAAGGAUAAAGAAGAAUAAAGAAGGAUAAAGAAGAAUACAGAACAAAGAAGAAUAAAGUAGAAUAAAGAAGGAUAAAGAAGAAUAAAGGAGAGUAAAGAAUAAAGUAGAAUAAAGUAGCAAAAAGUAGAAUAAAGAAGGAUAAAGUAGAAUAAAGUAGAAUAAAGAAGAAUAAAGAA